rnacentral:rRNA from 1 species
GAUGAACGCUGGCGGCGUGCCUAAUACAUGCAAGUCGAGCGAACAGACGAGGAGCUUGCUCCUCUGACGUUAGCGGCGGACGGGUGAGUAACACGUGGAUAACCUACCUAUAAGACUGGGAUAACUUCGGGAAACCGGAGCUAAUGCCGGAUAAUAUAUUGAACCGCAUGGUUCAAUAGUGAAAGACGGUUUUGCUGUCACUUAUAGAUGGAUCCGCGCCGCAUUAGUUAGUUGGUAAGGUAACGGCUUACCAAGGCAACGAUGCGUAGCCGACCUGAGAGGGUGAUCGGCCACACUGGAACUGAGACACGGUCCAGACUCCUACGGGAGGCAGCAGUAGGGAAUCUUCCGCAAUGGGCGAAAGCUUGACGGAGCAACGCCGCGUGAGUGAUGAAGGUCUUCGGAUCGUAAAACUCUGUUAUUAGGGAAGAACAAAUGUGUAAGUAACUAUGCACGUCUUGACGGUACCUAAUCAGAAAGCCACGGCUAACUACGUG